ensembl:lncRNA
AAUGUAACUAAGCAGCAGAAUUCUGCCUUAAUGUCACCCAUUAAUCAAGUAUUUGUGCAGGUUGUAAGAUUGUUAUGAGAAUGAGACAAUGGUAAUUAUUAAGAGUAAUGUAAAAUAAAUAUAAAUAAAUAUUUGAUCUGAGUGUGACAGAUGUCAACUAGCUUCAUGUAUAGUUUAUGUCUGGGUAUGUAAGGCAGUGCCAUUGGGAAAAAACGACGAAUCCCAUCGGGCGCCGCGCAUGCGCAGUCGACCACCGGAGCUAACGGAAAACUUGCCAGUGCUAAUUAGCAUCCUCGCUUACUAACAUUUAACGUUAAUUUCAUUCAAAAGCAACCCUACCGGACUCCAACCAGCGCAAGUCAUCCGGAGUAAGGUAAUGACCGAGAAUGUACGCAGUGGUUGUGACGGUUCCCUCGCUUCUGACAGCUGACGUUGUUGUUGUUUUUUUUAUAUCGACUCGUUUUUGCGCCCACGGCCACUGCAGACGUCCCACCAAAGGCCGUGCACCGAUCCGUCAACAGCAGCGCUCCACAUUCCACAUCAGGCAGCAAGAAUCGCCGUACGUUGUCCAGAAGGCCGGGAGGAGGAGGAGGAGGAGGAGGGGGGAUUGAAACCCGGCCGUGCUCGAGGGUCGCUCCGCCCCCCGGUAAACACCCAGUGAAGCAGACGCCGUUAGACCCGGAGGACAAAUAGAUAAUAAACACUUAAAGAAACCACAACGGAAAGUUGUUUUUUAUAAUUAAAUUAAAUUACAAAUUAAAAACAAAUGGAAACAUUCGAUUGAAGGUAGAGUCUUAAAAAGUUGUAAAUGUAGUUUAAAAAAAACAUAUUGAUACUGAAAAUUAUAAGGUUCAGGAGGGGAGGCAUUAAAUGGUUGUGGAAACCUUUUUCUUCACUUAUCAUGUGUCUGUAGAGUCCGCCUGGUAACAGAUUUCAUGUCAUAAUUGGGUAAUUUUUUCUUUUGGUAGAAAGCGCAAUGGGUCAAAUGUUAGUUUGCACUUAAUACAUGAUUUAGCUUUUCUGUAUGUGGCCUCCUCAUCGUCUGUUGUGUCACAGCAGCCCUUGCUGCUCAUGCCAGCUAACCACUUCUUUUUUUAAAUGAUCUAAAAAAGGAACUGUAAGUGGUACCGAAUGUGAAAUCCAUUAAAAAAAACAUCCGUUCAGUAACCAAGAACCUUUUUUUUUCCUGCGAAGGUCUUCUUGUGUUUGCCAAAGGUGGGAAAUAUCACAAGUACUGCUAAAGUGCAAGUCACAGAGGACACGGGGACAAUGGGAUUAUGGAUAAACAAUCUAUUGCUAUUGAACCCAGCUAAAUAUUUGCUUUGACCUUUAACCUCACCUCCCGAAGGGCUUGUGAAUGAAAGAGGCCGGCCUUCGGUUAGAUUGGGAACUCGGGCAACGACAAGCUAGCACUCAUUUUAGGAAUGCCACGCAGUCUGGGAGCUGCGGUCCAACCCGCCCUCACUCGCCCCCGGGGUGGGGUGGGGUGGUUUGGGGGGGUGCAGAGGAUAACAUGAGGGGGAACAAGCAUUCCUUUCAUUCGAACUCCUCACUCAGGUUUUAGAGCUCACGCCUCCGGGCACAGAGUCUAGACAGAAUGAGGUGGAAGAUGGUUAAUAAAAGUGAUGAAAAUAAAUGUAAAUGCAAUAAACGCAUUUUGUGCGUUUUAUCACAAACGUCCAGCAACAACAGCAAUCAGUGUUAUUGUUUUUUAAUCCAAAGAAUUACUUGGUUUGGUUUAGUAAAAGGUUGCAGUUCAGGAUGAAAUAACUACAGAAUCGGCGUUAAUUACGUUUUGAGGCUACAUGAUGGAGACGGUGACCUCUGGUUUCACUGGAGACGCGAUUAUCCCGUCAUCCACCCGACCUCCGGGUCUGAAGAACCUUAAACAGGCAUAAUUUCUACCGGCCAGCAGGGGGGCGACUCCUAUUCGAUCAACGAGUCCAUUAGAAAAGGCCCAUUUGUCACUUGAUUUAUUGCCUCAGUAAAACACUGUCGACAUGAAUCCAUGCUGUCAAUCCUACACCAAUCGAUCAUAACUCAGGGUGUUGUUGUAGGUAACUGGUCGCAUUAAAAUGCCUCAUUAUUUGUACUCGGCUCCAUCCUCAGUCCACAAACCACGUCAACCACGUCCACUUAAGCCGGCUAUGCUCCGUACGCCGACUGAUACAACCAGUUCAAGCUCGACAGACCAGUUUCCUUGAUGGAAGAACAAUAAUAAACUGCUUGAAUAUCCCUUUGUUUCUUCUUUCGUUGCCAUCAUAUAAAUGUGUUGUAAAGCCAAACUGACUGUUUGGAGUCAUGAGUGUGGGACAAAUGCUUAUAGUAGCAGCUGCCGUUGCAGAGCCGGUGUGCAUCCACCCCAGAUGUACCGAGCUUCUAAACUCUCACACAAGCUUCCCCGAGUGUGAUCGCAUGUGUGCCAACGCGGUUUCCUAACGCUGCACCUAGAUGCAGGAUUUAAAGAGCUAGGAAUCACGGAGGGUCACAAAAGGAAGGAUUUUCUGAAAUAUUAGACCGUGGCGACUGAGCUCCAGGAGCGAUGGCUUCUGGUUGAUGUCAUUCAUUCGCCCCUUUAAGCACUGGCGUUGUCUAUGUCCCCCACUUCAUGUGUUUAGCUUUGUCCUCUGUGGGACAGGCUUUACUUCACUACACCUCUGCUACUAACUGGGAGGAAGUUACACUGCGAGUCUCUUGUGUCUGGGGUCAGUAACCGAUAGCUGACAGAGGAAACAAAAGCGCUUUCCUCUCUCUGUUUUGGUCGGAAAGGGAACGUUGACGCGCUGCCUUCAGGCCGCAACUCGAGCCUUUUCCCUGAGAGAUCGUAUAGGUCAUCACUGACAGAACGGCAAAGAUAAAAGCACAAGGGGACGAAAGUUCUGUGUGUAAACUUGAAUUUAGCGCGAGAAGAGACGAGGGUCCACCAUGAGAUCAGCGGAAUUUAAGAGCAUUUGAUGUGUCGUUAGUAGGGCUGUUAAUCGAUUAAAAAACAAACAAAUUAAUCACACAUUUUCAUUCGUCGCGAUUAAUCGCGAUUAUUGAACGUUGUUGUUACAACGUUGUUAAUAAAUGUUUUAGAAAGUGUGUAUUUUAGACAUUGUUGUUUAAUUGUUAAAGUUAUUUUAAAAUGUAUUAAAAUAUUAUUUAAAACCCCACUACACACAUUUGAUCAUCUUGGCGGCAGAAUCCCACCAGGUGGAACAUUCAUCCUCUACUGCUUUUGGAGACACAGUGGUGAUCCUCUGCAGACUGUAUGCCGCGCAGUGUAGAUAGAUGUUGAGAUGGAAGUAGCCCAGCAGCUAGCUUAGCAUAGCGGUUCGUAAAGUGGUCAGUUUGCCACUCACCCCCCCC